rnacentral:rRNA from 1 species
UACGUAGGGUGCGAGCGUUGUCCGGAAUUAUUGGGCGUAAAGGGCUCGUAGGCGGUUUGUCACGUCGGGAGUGAAAACUCAGGGCUUAACCCUGAGCCUGCUUCCGAUACGGGCAGACUAGAGGUAUGCAGGGGAGAACGGAAUUCCUGGUGUAGCGGUGAAAUGCGCAGAUAUCAGGAGGAAGACCAGUGGCGAAGGCAGCUCUCUGGGACGGUACUGACGCUGAGACGCGAAAGCGUGGGGAGCGAACAGG